rnacentral:rRNA from 1 species
CAGCAGUGGGGGAUAUUGCACAAUGGGGGAAACCCUGAUGCAGCGACGCCGCGUGGGUGAAGAAGCGCCUCGGCGCGUAAAGCCCUGUCAGCAGGGAAGAAAAUGACGGUACCUGAAGAAGAAGCCCCGGCUAACUACGUGCC